rnacentral:rRNA from 1 species
CAGUCGCCGCGGUAAUACGAAGGGUGCAAGCGUUAAUCGGAAUUACUGGGCGUAAAGCGUGCGUAGGCGGUUUGUUAAGUCUGUUGUGAAAUCCCCGGGCUCAACCUGGGAAUGGCAAUGGAUACUGGCAAGCUAGAGUGUGUCAGAGGAUGGUGGAAUUCCCGGUGUAGCGGUGAAAUGCGUAGAGAUCGGGAGGAACAUCUGUGGCGAAGGCGACUAUCUGGGCCAACACUGACACUGAGGCACGAAAGCGUGGGGAGCAAACAGGAUUAGAUACCCCUGUAGUCCCUGUCUCUUAUAC